GAUUUUCUAGAUUAAUAGUGUUUCUACACCAUAUUUGUUCUACUGUCAUAGUGUCAUAACAUUCGCGGAAGGCAAUUUGCACCUAUUCUGCAAUCGCUUCCCAAACCUCUCCGCCAGACUGCACACUUUGCGCUAAAUUGAGGCCGUGAAAGCACGCACGCAGCAAGUUUAUUUUCACUACCAAACUCAGAUAAGAAUAGUAUAUCAUAUCUAGAGGGUCGACUUACCUUUUCAAAGUGGUAUUUUGAUGGUUCUCGCCACAAGAUUGACUCCCACCUGAGCGCACCAAACAAUCAAAAACUGCUUUCCUCACAACUCGACAU